AGGGUAUUGAAUUUUUGGGCAGGUCAUAAAUACUCGUAGCAAAAGUCGCAGAUUUUGGUCAUAAAUAGGGUAAGGGUUGUGGGAAGUGGGCCGCACAACCCCACCCAACUAUUCUGGGAGUAGCCCCUCCCCCACCCCCCGGGACAUUUGACCAGAUUUUGGUUCACUGGACCCAUGCAUUAUGUUAAUGCCUCAUUUUACAUAAUUUCAGGAAGCUAGGUUGCCACGUCAAACUUCUUUCACCCAGCGAACUCAGAGUGCAAUUUCCCUGGCUCAACACAGACGGAAUAACACUAGCUUCGUUGGGUACAGGAGAUGAAGGUUGGUUUGAUCCAUUGUCUUUGCUGAAGGCCUUCAAGAGGAAGGCCACACAUUUAGGCGUGGAAUACAUCUCUGGAGAGGUCGUGGACUUCUUUUCAGAUCUGAAUGGACAAAUAAGCGGUGUUAAGGUGGCUACCAGUUCCUCUCCAAAUAAUCCACAGACCGUCGACUGUGGAACAGUGGUUAACGCUGCAGGUCCGAGUGCAGGGCAUCUCGCAAAGAAGCUUGGGAUACAUUUACCAGUCGAACCAAGAAAACGGUUUAUUUUUGUGUUAGAUGGUGCUGAAGCGUCCAAAAUAAAUGAGAUGCCAUUUGUUAUCGAUUGUUCUGGGGUAGCUGGUCGUCUCGCAGGUGGUGGUUUUGCUUGUGGCAUGUCACCAUUAAUAGUGAGCAUCUUCUGUAGUUUUAGUUUCCUAUUAGGUUGACUAAAAUUGGAACUUAAUUCCAAUUUUGAGUCUUCAAGAAAAUUUCAGGCAAUUAAGACCAAUAGGCGAUGUUCGUAUUCUUGGCAUUGACCUGGAACAAGCUUGCAAUGGAGGUUCAUGCGGGGACUUCCCGUCACUCUACGCAUGCUCAGAGUCAAGAUUGCCCACGUCAGCUCGCGUUUUUCAAGACAAGGUUCCAGUUGCUUGGCAACAGUGACGUUUCGUGAUGACGAUAAGCUGACGUCAUGUUUUUUUGGAAUGCUUUGAAAAAGACUACCCAUACUUAGCUAAUAGUGUCGGCCAAGGUGCUUAUGGGAUUGCCUAUUUUGGGGGAGUGCGUGGGAAGGGGAUGGGUACCGUACAUACGGCUGGCGCGGCUGAAAUUUGAAUUGACCAAUCAGGAUUCAGCAGGCGGGAAAAACUUUACUGUCUUGACGUUAAUGUAUGUUAACAGGAAAGACAUUGUAAUCGGGCAACUUUUCUCGCUGGAGAUUGCAUUAAAUAUUCACUAACCAGCAUUUACAUUUCCAAAAAUCAUAUCAGAUUCCAAAAAUUGAAAAGUAUGAAACAUUUUGUUUCCCUAAGCUUCUAAUUUGGCGCCAAAAAUGGGUCACCGACAAAUCGCUCGUAGUUCGUGGAGUGUCGUCA